UACGUAGGUGGCAAGCGUUGUUCGGAAUUAUUGGGCGUAAAGGGCGCGUAGGCGGUUUGUUAAGUCGGUCGUGAAAGCCCGGGGCUCAACCCCGGAGGGUCGACCGAUACUGGCAGACUAGAGUACAGAAGAGGUAACUGGAAUUCCCGGUGUAGCGGUGAAAUGCGUAGAUAUCGGGAGGAACAUCAGUGGCGAAGGCGGCGACCUGGGCCUGUGCUGACGCUGAGGCGCGAAAGCGUGGGGAGCGAUCCGG
rnacentral:rRNA from 1 species